AAAUAGCAUGCCAUAUUUCAUUACUUCAAAAUCAUAACUUGCAAAGCUCAAAAUCUCUAAACUUCAUACUUUAAUAUCCAUUUUCUCUCAUUCACUACUCAUCAAUCACUAUGUCUGGAGGCUGUGGAAACUGCAACUGUGCUGACCAAAGCCAGUGUGUGAAGAAGGGAAACCAGUAUGGAUUUGACAUCAUUGAGAAUGAAAACAACAACUUUGAUGGCAUGGUGAUGGAAGAAGGCGGAAACUGUGACAACUGCAAGUGCGGCAGCGGCUGUGCAUGCACCAGCUGCACCUGCUGCUCUCACUGAGCGCGCUUAUUAUCUAUAAAGCCUCAUCAUAUUAUCUCUUUAAUAUGAUCAGCUUUUAAUUAAUCUACUUUUAUUAUGUACUAACUUAUACAUCAUUGUAUAAGAGAAAUUGCUAAAAUAAUUUGUUACUUUCACUGCUAUGUAAUGGCCCUUUGUGCCUAUGAUGUUUCUAUCAAUAUAAUGGGUCGAAUUUAUUAUUA